rnacentral:rRNA from 1 species
CAAGCAGCGGAGCGUGUGGUUUAAUUCGUUGCUACACGAAGAACCUUACCUGGGUUCGACAUAUAGGUUGUAGGGAACUGAAAGGGACCGACCCUUCGGGGAGCCUAUACAGGUGUUGCAUGGCUGUCGUCAGCUCGUGUCGUGAGAUGUUCGGUUAAGUCCGCUAACGAGCGCAACCCUCGUCGUAUGUUAUAUGUGUCAUACGAGACUGCCGGUAAAAAGCCGGAGGAAGGUGAGGAUGAUGUCAAGUCAGCAUGACCUUUAUAUCCAGGGCUACACACACGCUACAAUGGUCUGUACAAUGGGUAGCCAAGCCGCGAGGCGGAGCCAAUCCUGAAAGCAGGCCUCAGUUCAGAUUGCAGUCUGCAACUCGACUGCAUGAAGCCGGAGUUGCUAGUAACCGCAGGUCAGCAAUACUGCGGUGAAUACGUUCCCGGGUCUU